rnacentral:rRNA from 1 species
AACGAACGCUGGCGGCAGGCCUAAAACAUGCAAGUCGAACGCCCCGCAAGGGGAGUGGCGCACGGGUGAGUAACGCGUGGGAACGUGCCCUUCAGUACGGGAUAACGUCGGGAAACUGACGCUAAUACCGUAUAAUGACUCCGGUCCAAAGAUUUAUCGCUGAAGGAGCGGCCCGCGUCUGAUUAGCUAGUUGGUGAGGUAAUGGCCCACCAAGGCUACGAUCAGUAGCAGGUCUGAGAGGAUGAUCUGCCACACUGGGACUGAGACACGGCCCAGACUCCUACGGGAGGCAGCAGUUAGGAAUAUUGGACAAUGGGGGAAACCCUGAUCCAGCCAUGCCGCGUGUGUGAUGAAGGCCCUAGGGUUGUAAAGCACUUUCGUUGGGGAUGAUAAUGACCGUACCCAAAGAAGAAGCACCGGCUAACUUCGUGCCAGCAGCCGCCGUAA